CCACGGGGGGCAGCAGUGGGGAAUAUUGGGCAAUGGGCGCAAGCCUGACCCAGCAACGCCGCGUGAAGGAAGAAGGCUUUCGGGUUGUAAACUUCUUUUCUCAGGGACGAAGAAAGUGACGGUACCUGAGGAAUAAGCCACGGCUAACUACGUGCCAGCAGCCGCGGUAAUACGUAGGUGGCAAGCGUUAUCCGGAUUUACUGGGUGUAAAGGGCGUGUAGGCGGGGAAGCAAGUCAGAUGUGAAAACCACGGGCUCAACCUGUGGCCUGCAUUUGAAACUGUUUUUCUUGAGUACUGGAGAGGCAGACGGAAUUCCUAGUGUAGCGGUGAAAUGCGUAGAUAUUAGGAGGAACACCAGUGGCGAAGGCGGUCUGCUGGACAGCAACUGACGCUGAGGCGCGAAAGCGUGGGGAGCAAACAGGAUUAGAUACCCGGGUAGUC
rnacentral:rRNA from 1 species